rnacentral:rRNA from 1 species
UACGGGGGGGGCAAGCGUUGUUCGGAAUUACUGGGCGUAAAGGGCGCGUAGGCGGCCUUCUAAGUCGGACGUGAAAUCCCUCGGCUUAACCGAGGAACUGCGUCCGAUACUGAAAGGCUUGAAUCCGGGAGAGGGAUGUGGAAUUCCAGGUGUAGCGGUGAAAUGCGUAGAUAUCAGGAGGAACACCGAUGGCGAAGGCAGGUCUCUGGGCUGACACUGACGCUCAUGCACGAAAGCGUGGGGAGCAAACAGG